rnacentral:rRNA from 1 species
GGCUAAAACAGUCAGGAUGUUGGCUUAGAAGCAGCCAUCAUUUAAAGAAAGCGUAAUAGCUCACUGAUCGAGUCGUCCUGCGCGGAAGAUGUAACGGGGCUAAGCCAGUCACCGAAGCUGCGGAUAUCCUUUAUUGGAUAUGGUAGGAGAGCGUUCUGUAAGCCUGCGAAGGUGUCUUGUAAAGGAUGCUGGAGGUAUCAGAAGUGCGAAUGCUGACAUGAGUAGCGAUAAUGGGGGUGAAAAGCCUCCACGCCGUAAGCCCAAGGUUUCCUGUUCAACGUUCAUCGGAGCAGGGUGAGUCGGCCCCUAAGGCGAGGCAGAGAUGCGUAGCUGAUGGGAAGCAGGUUAAUAUUCCUGCACCGUCGUAUGAUGCGAUGGGGGGACGGAUCGCGGAAGGUUGUCCAACUGUUGGAAUAGUUGGUUUUUGGCUCAUAGAAGGUACUUAGGCAAAUCCGGGUACGGAAUUCAAGGGGUUGAGACGAGUGAAUUUAUUCACGAAGCAAUCGGAAGUGGUUCCAAGAAAAGCCUCUAAGCUUCAGUCAUACGAGACCGUACCGCAAACCGACACAGGUGGGCGAGAUGAGUAUUCUAAGGCGCUUGAGAGAACUCGGGAGAAGGAA